rnacentral:rRNA from 1 species
GAAUAUUGUACAAUGGGCGAAAGCCUGAUCCAGCCAUGCCGCGUGUGUGAAGAAGGUCUUCGGAUUGUAAAGCAAUCUCUGUUGGGAGGAAGGGCAGUCAGCGACUACCUUGCUGUCUUGACGUUACCGACAGAAUAAGCACCGGCUAACUCUGUGCCAGCAGCCGCGGUAAUACAGAGGGUGCAAGCGUUAAUCGGAAUUACUUGGCGUAAAGCGCGCGUAGGUGGUUCGUUAAGUUGGAUGUGAAAUCCCCGGGCUCAACCUGGGAACUGCAUCCAAAACUGGCGAGCUAGAGUAGGGCAGAGGGUGGUGGAAUGUCCUGUGUAGCGGUGAAAUGCGUAGAUAUAGGAAGGAACACCAGUGGCGAAGGCGACCACCUGGGCUCAUACUGACACUGAGGUGCGAAAGCGUGGGGAGCAAACA